GCCCUUCCAGCAAACGCCUCAGCAAAUUCAUCCACAAUAGGUCCAAUUCCUGCAUUCCUGACAGUUACAGCAUUCACCGGCUACAUAUCUUGAAUAAACCGCAGUGACCCAUUCUUCUUAGGUACCGUAAACCAUCGACUAGAAUACGGCGCAAAUGAAGGUUCUAAUAUUUUCAUCUUUAUCUUUUCUUUCAAUAGUUCCACCAAUUUAGGUAAAUGUGCC
rnacentral:lncRNA from 1 species